CCAAUGUAAGCAGACUUCCAAGAAAACCCUCUAAGCAUAUUGAUAUGGUACCCGUACCGGAAACCGACACAGGUAGUCAAGGAGAAUAUCCUGAGGUGCUCGAGUGAUCCAUGGCUAAGGAACUAGGCAAAUUAACCCUGUAACUUCGGGAAAAGGGGUGCCUCGCUGUAGCAAUACAGCAGGUCGCAGAGAAAUGGCCCAGGCGACUGUUUAACAAAAACACAUGGCUAUGCGAAAUCGAAAGAUUAUGUAUAUGGCCUGACACCUGCCCGGUGCUGGAAGGUUAAGGGGGGAUGUUAGCCGCAAGGCGACGCAUUGAACUGAAGCCCCAGUAAACGGCGGCCGUAACUAUAACGGUCCUAAGGUAGCGAAAUUCCUUGUCGGGUAAGUUCCGACCUGCACGAAUGGUGUAACGAUCUGGGCACUGUCUCAGCCAUGAGCUCGGUGAAAUUGUAGUCACGGUGAAGAUGCCGUGUACCCGUCACGGGACGGAAAGACCCCAUGCACCUUUACUAUAGCUUCGCAUUGACAUUGGGUAGAUGAUGUGUAGGAUAGGUGGGAGGCUUUGAUCCUGUGCCGCUAGGUAUAGGGGAGCCAACGGUGAAAUACCACCCUUUAUUUAUCUGAUGUCUAAUCCGCCAAAAGUGGAGACAGUGCGUGGUGGGUAGUUUGACUGGGGUGGUCGCCUCCAAAAGUGUAUCGGAGGCUUUCAAAGGUAUGUUCAGUACGCUUGGUAACCGUACGUGGAGUGCAAUAGCAUAAACAUGCUUGACUGUGAGAUCGACGGAUCGAGCAGGAUCGAAAGAUGGAUAUAGUGAUCCGGUGGUUCUGUAUGGAAGGGCCAUCGCUCAAAGGAUAAAAGGUACGCUGGGAUAACAGGCUGAUCUCCCCCAAGAGCUCACAUCGACGGGGAGGUUUGGCACCUCGAUGUCGGCUCGUCACACCCUGGGGCUGGAGAAGGUCCCAAGGGUUAGGCUGUUCGCCUAUUAAAGUGGCACACGAGCUGGGUUCAGAACGUCGUGAGACAGUUCGGUCCCUAUCUGUGAUGGGCGUAGGAAGCUUGAGAGGUCCUGAUUUUAGUACGAGAGGACCGAAUUGGACCGACCGCUGGUGUACCGGCUGUGGCGUCAGCUGCAUCGCCGGGUAGCUAUGUCGGGAAGAGAUAAGCGCUGAAAGCAUCUAAGCGCGAAACUCACCUCAAGAUGAGGCUUCCAUUAAGGGACGUCAGAGAUUAUGACGUUGAUAGGCUGCAGGUGUAAAGGCAGAAAUGUCAAAGCUGAGCAGUACUAAUAACCCA
rnacentral:rRNA from 1 species